UACGGAGGGGGCUAGCGUUAUUCGGAAUUAUUGGGCGUAAAGGGCGCGUAGGCGGCCCGGUAAGUCAAAGGUGAAAUCCCUCGGCUCAACUGAGGAACUGCCUUUGAAACUGUCGGGCUUGAGGCCGGGAGGGGGUAGCGGAAUUCCCAGUGUAGCGGUGAAAUGCGUAGAUAUCUGGAGGAAUACCGGUGGCGAAGGCGGCAUCCUGGACCGAUAUUGACACUGAGGAGCGAAAGCCAGGGGAGCAAACGGG
rnacentral:rRNA from 1 species